UAGGGAAUCUUCGGCAAUGGGGGGAACCCUGACCGAGCAACGCCGCGUGAGUGAAGAAGGUUUUCGGAUCGUAAAGCUCUGUUGUUAAGGAAGAACGAGUGUGAGAAUGGAAAGUUCAUGCUGUGACGGUACUUAACCAGAAAGGGACGGCUAACUACGUGCCAGCAGCCGCGGUAAUACGUAGGUCCCGAGCGUUGUCCGGAUUUAUUGGGCGUAAAGCGAGCGCAGGCGGUUAGAAAAGUCUGAAGUGAAAGGCAGUGGCUCAACCAUUGUAGGCUUUGGAAACUGUUUAACUUGAGUGCAGAAGGGGAGAGUGGAAUUCCAUGUGUAGCGGUGAAAUGCGUAGAUAUAUGGAGGAACACCGGUGGAGAAAGCGGCUCUCUGGUCUGUAACUGACGCUGAGGCUCGAAAGCGUGGGGAGCGAACAGG
rnacentral:rRNA from 1 species